GCUUGUCUCAAAGAUUAAGCCAUGCAUGUCUAAGUAUAAACUGCUUAUACUGUGAAACUGCGAAUGGCUCAUUAAAUCAGUUAUAGUUUAUUUGAUGGUACCUACUACUCGGAUAACCGUAGUAAUUCUAGAGCUAAUACGUGCGCACAACCCGACUUCUGGAAGGGUCGUAUUUAUUAGAUAAAAGGCCAGCCGGGCUUUGCCCGACCUGCGGUGAAUCAUGAUAACUUCACGAAUCGUAUGGCCUUGUGCCGACGAUGUUUCAUUCAAAUUUCUGCCCUAUCAACUUUCGAUGGUAGUGUAUUGGACUACCAUGGCAGUAACGGGUAACGAAGAAUUAGGGUUCGAUUUCGGAGAGGGAGCAUGAGAAACGGCUACCACAUCUAAGGAAGGCAGCAGG
rnacentral:rRNA from 1 species